rnacentral:rRNA from 1 species
GACGAACCGUGCGAACGUUGUUCGGAAUCACUGGGCUUAAAGGGCGCGUAGGCGGGCGGUCAAGUCAGAGGUGAAAUCCCACGGCUCAACCGUGGAAGUGCCCCUGAUACUGAUCGUCUCGAGGGAGGUAGGGGCGUGCGGAACUUCCGGUGGAGCGGUGAAAUGCGUAGAGAUCGGAAAGAACACCAACGGCGAAAGCACUCUGCUGGGCCGACACUGACACUGAGAGACGAAAGCUAGGGGAGCGAAUGGG